rnacentral:rRNA from 1 species
UACGUAGGGUGCAAGCGUUGUCCGGAAUUAUUGGGCGUAAAGAGCUCGUAGGCGGUCUGUCGCGUCGGGUGUGAAAAUCCAGGGCUUAACCCUGGACCUGCAUUCGAUACGGGCAGACUAGAGUUCGGUAGGGGAGACUGGAAUUCCUGGUGUAGCGGUGAAAUGCGCAGAUAUCAGGAAGAACACCCGUGGCGAAAGCGGCUCUCUGGAACGGUACUGACGCUGAGACGCGAAAGCGUGGGGAGCGAACAGG